UACGUAGGGGGCAAGCGUUGUCCGGAAUUAUUGGGCGUAAAGCGCGCGCAGGCGGCCUUGUAAGUCUGUUGUUUAAACUCGGGGCUCAACCCCGAGUCGCAAUGGAAACUGCAAAGCUUGAGUACAGAAGAGGAAAGUGGAAUUCCACGUGUAGCGGUGAAAUGCGUAGAGAUGUGGAGGAACACCAGUGGCGAAGGCGACUUUCUGGGCUGAUAACUGACGCUGAGGCGCGAAAGCGUGGGGAGCAAACAGG
rnacentral:rRNA from 1 species